CGUUGAUGUCUUUUGAGAGAAAAGAAAUAUUUCUGCAAUUGAGAUUUUUGCAUACAUAUUUUAAUAUUUUAAAAUUAUCAAUUUUAUUUUGACUUUAUUUCCAAAAAUAAAUAAAUUCCAAUCUCCUCUUCACUGAAAAAUGAGCUCAUUUGAAUUAGGGAAAAUAGGCAGAUUGAAGUAAAGCACGCCGGCGACAACUUGGAUUAUCACUUUAAUAGAAACCUAUGCAAUGAUUUACUUACCAGAGGUACUGUACAUGCGACAGCUCCCUUUAUGUGAGCCAAUUAAAGCACCCUUCAACAAUGGAAAAACAAAAACAUAUCAGAUAGUUGUGAAUGCUCUCUAAUAUGACUACAAUUGAUGGUAAGUUGUUUUUGGCAUGUUGGAAACCAGUAAAAGUUGGAUAUAUAACUACCUC